GUCCCAAUAGCGCAAUGGAUAGCGCGUUGGACUUUUAAUCCAAAGGACGUGGGUUUGAAUCUCACGAGGGAUG